ACGGGUGAGUAACACGUGGGUAACCUGCCCCUAAGUGGGGGAUAACAUUUGGAAACAGAUGCUAAUACCGCAUAGAUCCAAGAACCGCAUGGUUCUUGGCUGAAAGAUGGCGUAAGCUAUCGCUUUUGGAUGGACCCGCGGCGUAUUAGCUAGUUGGUGAGGUAAUGGCUCACCAAGGCGAUGAUACGUAGCCGAACUGAGAGGUUGAUCGGCCACAUUGGGACUGAGACACGGCCCAAACUCCUACGGGAGGCAGCAGUAGGGAAUCUUCCACAAUGGACGCAAGUCUGAUGGAGCAACGCCGCGUGAGUGAAGAAGGCUUUCGGGUCGUAAAACUCUGUUGUUUUAGAAGAAUGGUCGGCAGAGUAACUGUUGUCGGCGUGACGGUAUCCAACCAGAAAGCCACGGCUAACUACGUGCCAGCAGCCGCGGUAAUACGUAGGUGGCAAGCGUUAUCCGGAUUUAUUGGGCGUAAAGCGAGCGCAGGCGGUUUUUUAAGUCUGAUGUGAAAGCCCUCGGCUUAACCGAGGAAGCGCAUCGGAAACUGGGAAACUUGAGUGCAGAAGAGGACAGUGGAACUCCAUGUGUAGCGGUGAAAUGCGUAGAUAUAUGGAAGAACACCAGUGGCGAAGGCGGCUGUCUGGUCUGUAACUGACGCUGAGGCUCGAAAGCAUGGGUAGCGAACAGGAUUAGAUACCCUGGUAGUCCAUGCCGUAUACGAUGAAUGCUAGG
rnacentral:rRNA from 1 species